CCUACGGGGGGCAGCAGUGAGGAAUAUUGGUCAAUGGGCUUACGCCUGAACCAGCCAAGUCGCGUGAGGGAAGACUGCCCUAUGGGUUGUAAACCUCUUUUGUUAGGGAGCAACGCCGGCUACGUGUAGCCGGACUGAGAGUACCUGAAGAAAAAGCAGCGGCGAACUCCGUGCCAGCAGCCGCGGUAAUACGGAGGAUGCGAGCGUUAGCCGGAUUUAUUGGGUUGAAAGGGUGCGUAGGCGGAAUGCCAAGUCAGCGGGAAAAUCGCGGGGCUCAACCUCGCUCCGCCGUUGAAACUGGCGUUCUUGCGUGUGCGAGCACUAUGCGCACUGCGUGUUGUAGCGGU
rnacentral:rRNA from 1 species